rnacentral:rRNA from 1 species
GUGAGGAAUAUUGCGCAAUGGGCGAAAGCCUGACGCAGCGACGCCGCGUGGAGGAUGAAGGCCUUCGGGUUGUAAACUCCUGUCAGUGGGGAAGAGAACGGACGGUACCCACUGAGGAAGCUUCGGCUAACUACGUGCCAGCAGCCGCGGUAAGACGUAGGGAGCAAGCGUUGUCCGGAAUUACUGGGCGUAAAGAGCUCGUAGGCGGGAGCGUACGUCUGAGAGGAAAUCUCAAGGCUCAACUUUGGGGCUUUCUCAGAUACGGCGCUUCUUGAGUGUAAGAGAGGAAAGCAGAAUUCCCGGUGUAGCGGUGAAAUGCGUAGAUAUCGGGAGGAAUACCAGUGGCGAAGGCGGCUUUCUGGCUUACUACUGACGCUGAGGAGCGAAAGCGUGGGGAGCGAACGGGAUUAGAUACCCCGGUAGUCC